UACGUAGGGUGCGAGCGUUGUCCGGAAUUAUUGGGCGUAAAGAGCUCGUAGGCGGUUUGUUGCGUCUAUCGUGAAAACCUGGGGCUUAACCCCGGGCCUGCGGUGGAUACGGGCAGACUUGAGUUCGGUAGGGGAGACUGGAAUUCCUGGUGUAGCGGUGAAAUGCGCAGAUAUCAGGAGGAACACCAACGGCGAAGGCAGCCCGCUGGGACGGUACUGACGCUGAGGCGCGAAAGCGUGGGGAGCAAACAGG
rnacentral:rRNA from 1 species